UACGAAGGGGGCUAGCGUUGCUCGGAAUCACUGGGCGUAAAGCGCACGUAGGCGGCUUUUUAAGUCAGAGGUGAAAUCCUGGAGCUCAACUCCAGAACUGCCUUUGAUACUGAGAGGCUUGAGUUCGGGAGAGGUGAGUGGAAUGCCGAGUGUAGAGGUGAAAUUCGUAGAUAUUCGCAAGAACACCAGUGGCGAAGGCGGCUCACUGGCCCGAUACUGACGCUGAGGCACGAAAGCGUGGGGAGCAAACAGG
rnacentral:rRNA from 1 species